rnacentral:rRNA from 1 species
GGCUACUACAUCCAAGGAAGGCAGCAGGCGCGCAAAUUACCCAAUCCCGACACGGGGAGGUAGUGACAAUAAAUACUGAUACAGGGCUCUUUUGGGUCUUGUAAUUGGAAUGAGUACAAUUUAAAUCCCUUAACGAGGAACAAUUGGAGGGCAAGUCUGGUGCCAGCAGCCGCGGUAAUUCCAGCUCCAAUAGCGUAUAUUAAAGUUGUUGCAGUUAAAAAGCUCGUAGUUGAACCUUGGGCCUGGCUGGCCGGUCCGCCUCACCGCGUGCACUGGUCCGGCCGGGCCUUUCCCUCUGGGGAGCCGCAUGCCCUUCACUGGGUGUGUCGGGGAACCAGGACUUUUACUGUGAAAAAAUUAGAGUGUUCAAAGCAGGCCUAUGCUCGAAUACAUUAGCAUGGAAUAAUAGAAUAGGACGUGUGGUUCUAUUUUGUUGGUUUCUAGGACCGCCGUAAUGAUUAAUAGGGACAGUCGGGGGCAUCAGU